rnacentral:rRNA from 1 species
GAUGAACGCUGGCGGCGUGCCUAAUACAUGCAAGUCGAGCGAACGGACGAGAAGCUUGCUUCUCUGAUGUUAGCGGCGGACGGGUGAGUAACACGUGGAUAACCUACCUAUAAGACUGGGAUAACUUCGGGAAACCGGAGCUAAUACCGGAUAAUAUUUUGAACCGCAUGGUUCAAAAGUGAAAGACGGUCUUGCUGUCACUAAUAGAUGGAUCCGCGCUGCAUUAGCUAGUUGGUAAGGUAACGGCUUACCAAGGCAACGAUGCAUAGCCGCCCUGAGAGGGUGAUCGGCCACCCUGGAACUGAGACACGGUCCAGACUCCUACGGGAGGCAGCAGUAGGGAAUCUUCCGCAAUGGGCGAAAGCCUGACGGAGCAACGCCGCGUGAGUGAUGAAGGUCUUCGGAUCGUAAAGCUCUGUUAUUAGGGAAGAACAUAUGUGUAAGUAACUGUGCACAUCUUGACGGUACCUAAUCAGAAAGCCACGGCUAACUACGUG